AGCGGGGGAUAGGAGAUGUGUCAAUAUGGUGCACUGCAGUGAUCCGGGAUGCAUGUGGCAAAAUCCUGUGAGCAGAUGAGGAAAGGCAAGGAAGUGAAUUUGCCCCAUUAGAUCACCAGAAAAAGGAAUAUUAUGAAAUGGGCCACAAUCACUAAAGUUGGGAAGAAAUGGGGCAAUAUUUUCACCCAGCAGACACAACAUCUCUCCCCAACCUGCACCACACAGUUCCGAACCCUCUCCAUUAUACAGUGGUACCUCCAGUUACGAACUUAAUUGGUUCCAGAGGUCCGUUCGUAACCGGAAACCGUUCGUAACAUGAGGCGCGCUUUCGCUAAUGGCGCCUCCAGCUGCUGCUGCGCCGCUGGAGCACGACUUCUGCCCACAUCCCGAGGCAAAGUUCGCAACAAGGGGCAUCUACUUCCGGGUUAGCGGAGUGCGUAACGCAAAGCAUUUGUAAGGGGGAUUGUACGUAACACAAGGUACCACCGUACUUGUGGAAAUUAGCCAUUAUAAGCCUCCUGAAAGGUACUCCCUAGUAGACCCCUAGGGGGAAAGACAUGGCAUGUUGGCCCUUUACUUGUCAGCCAAUGACCUAUUAUUGACAUUAUUAUUUUUAUGAUAUUAUAUAUCUAUCUAGAUUUUAAUAUAAGACUCUCUCAAGAUGGCUUUUAGCGAGUAAAUCUAUAAUAAACUAUCUAUUUAUAACCAUAAAACACCAACCGUAACAUUGUUCUAUUGCUGGCAGGGUGCUCUCUACACCACCCUGAUAUUUUAUGAGAGGGUGGUAUGUAAAUGCUUGUAUGUAUAAAUAAAUAAAAGCAUAAGACCCAACAAUGACACUAGCCGCCAAUAGAAUCCGGACUCUUAAGAUCAGUAAGCUCUAUGAAAUUAUUAUGAGCUCAGCAGCACCAUAUAAAACACCAAACCAAUACAACCAUACAGUGGUAAACAAAUGGGUCUUCAGGCCUCAUUGAAAGGCUUGAUAGGCUGGUGUGAAUUCCACAGGCAUGGGGCCACCACCCAGAAAGCCCCGUCCCGUGUCCAUGCUGCCAAGCUCAUCGGCCUCACAUAAGGCAACUUAGAUAACCGGUUCCAUAAUGUACACAAGUUAGUAAUUUUAAGUAAUCAAUGAUGUCAUUAUUUCCGCAACUUUCAUUUCAAUGUAAACAUCAAAGCAAGAGUUGAUAAUUUAUUUUUUUAAUCAUUGACACCUGGUGCUUCCAGACUUGCCCUUGGGCUACGUUCUAGGCUCAGGUCCGCACUUUAAAGCUCCCUCUCUGAACCCCCCCUUUUUUUUUCCCCUGGCAAGUUUCCUGCUCUUUACCACUGGAAAACUCGAAUUGCCAUUUGUUCCGAUUCAGCAUUAAAGAGCAGAUUUUCCUGGGGAAAGUGGCAGAGUGAAACAAAAGUGGAGGUGGGGAGCCUCUGACACAAACCAGGAAAGCCGGG